rnacentral:rRNA from 1 species
UGGGGAAUCUUGCACAAUGGGCGAAAGCCUGAUGCAGCCAUGCCGCGUGAAUGAUGAAGGCCUUGCGAGGCAAAUUGCCGGUACCAUAUGAAUAAGCACCGGCUAACUCCGUGCCAGCAGCCGCGGUAAUACGGAGGGUGCAAGCGUUGUCCGGAUUUAUUGGGUUUAAAGGGUACGUAGGCGGAUUUUUAAGUCCGUGGUGAAAGCCUACAGCUUAACUGUAGAACUGCCAUGGAUACUGGAAAUCUUGAGUUCAGUUGAGGUAAGCGGAAUUUAUGAUGUAGCGGUGAAAUGCAUAGAUAUCAUAAAGAACACCUAUUGCGAAGGCAGCUUGCUGGACUUGGAUUGACGCUGAGGUACGAAAGCGUGGGGAGCGAACAGGAUUAGAUACCCCCGUAGUCC